UACGAAGGGGGCUAGCGUUGUUCGGAAUUACUGGGCGUAAAGCGCGCGCAGGUGGUCUUUCAAGUCAGUGGUGAAAGCCCGGAGCUCAACUCCGGAAAUGCCAUUGAAACUGUAAGACUUGAGGAUGAGAGAGGUGAGUGGAAUUCCCAGUGUAGAGGUGAAAUUCGUAGAUAUUGGGAAGAACACCGGUGGCGAAGGCGGCAUCUGGCCUGGAAUUGACGCUGAGGCGCGAAAGCGUGGGGAGCAAACAGGG
rnacentral:rRNA from 1 species